UGGGAAUCUACCUCGUUGUGGGGGAUAACGUAGGGAAACUUACGCUAAUACCGCAUACGACCGGAAGGUGAAAGCGGCGGACCGCAAGGCGUCGCGCGAUGAGAUGAGCCCAUGUCGGAUUAGCUAGUUGGUGAGGUAAAGGCUCACCAAGGCGACGAUCAGUAGCUGGUCUGAGAGGAUGAUCAGCCACAUUGGGACUGAGACACGGCCCAG
rnacentral:rRNA from 1 species